UGUGAAGGUGUUUGGGGGUGUCUGUGUGUAACAUUUAAACCAGCAAACUCUGAGGAGCGCAGACCCUUCCAUCGUGUAGUGGGCUCAUCCCAUCCGCCAAAGGCCUUAGGAGCAGGCACUCAAAGUCUGUAGCACACAGACCCUGGCCCAGUACAGUCUGUUUUCCAUUACUGGCAACUAAAGGAGUGCAUGCGACAUGAGAUCACCCAGGGUUGAUGUUCUAAGAAUGUGACUUUGGACAUGACAUGGUGAAGUAGGCGUGAUCAUGGGAGGAAAUAAAAUGAGUCUUGGAAGAAACUUGUACUCACAGGUCCCAAGGAAGGGUUGCCACAUGGCACGCAGGGCCAAGGAGAGGCAUCAGAUUGGGGACACGUGGCAGAAGACAUGAGCAAGAAGUCUAGGCACGCACGUAGCUAUUGACAUCUCCUCGGAAAAAGCAAGUAAUUAAAGAACAUGAAACCUAUUUUCAGCUCCAGUAUCUGUGAGGAACAGGUGGCAAUCCUAAUUCGACCUGCAGGCUGUAACUGGCCAAUCCUCGCCGUCGAGGGUGAAGAUUUCUUUCAAGGUACAUCUCAUAUACACAGCUGGAAGUAGCAGGGUGAAAAGGUGAGAACCUAUGAAGACUGUGAAGAGACAAAAGUAGAAAAGAGCAAGUAAGAAACAUCUGUCCAUUUUGGGACAGCAGCUGAUGGAGGAGUGGAUCUGAUCUGCAGAGCACAGUCCAGGAAGCUGAUCCGGAACUGAGCCAGUCAGCCAAUGGAAUCGCACAGAAUGUGCUGCUCUCAUCACCAGUCACCAGGGAGAGGGAGGAAGUUGUAUUGACUCCUGUGGUCCACUCUGUGGAUUUCCCAUGAUACCUCAGAGACGCUGAACUCACUGGUGCUUUGUCACAAACUGGUCAGCGGGGACCCAGAUCUAAUGCAACCAGACAACGCUCUAAUACACCACAUCGAGGGUCCGGUUAUCGAGAUAAGAGUGACCAUGCUAAGGCCAUAAAUCAGAGACUUGGGACAGUUAAUUUAAAGAAAACAAACCCAGGGCCCACACAGACUAAAACUUAUGGAAAUCGUACGAGUGGAGCAACACAUGAAAUACUGUAGGCAGCUGGAAACAAACUAUUGUUCCCACUCCUUGGCUCAACACCUAUUUGUCUUUUUGUGUUUUGGGGAGUUCAUAUCCCUUUCUUAGGGAUACUGUUAGCCCCAUUCCAUGAAAGUAACCAGAAAAAGGCUAUGUUUGGUUGAGAAUCUGAAUAGCAAAAGGUUUCUUUGAGUUGCAGAAGGCUGUGGGCUGUUAUUGCAUUAGGACUGUACCAUUCCAAGGAUAAACUAAAAAUUAGAAAUGUCAGCCAGCUGCUCUCCUGCAACUGGAGUUUCUGGCAAAAGUCCCUGGCCACUGCUUAAUAGGGACCUGUGGGCUUCUGAGCUACAAGAGUACCGAGCGGUGCUCUUCUUCUGAAAGACACUUAAUGUUCUCACCAUUAAGCAUUUAUGGAACAGCCCCAGAAACCAAAGGAUGUAAGGCUAUGUUACGACCCGAAAUAGCCCAUUGUAUCAUGGUGGUGUCACGGAAGCAUUUCAACGAGGAGGACAAUGGCCAGAGCAGCUCAGUGCUAAGAUGGAAACGGUGCACACAGGAGCUGCUACUGGGAGUUUCACAGGAGGAAUUCACUGUAUUUAUGACCAGGCCUGACCAUGGAGCUUCCUUAGGAACACUUGCCUGCUAUCACUGUCGAGGGCCCCCUCCCUUCUACCAAUUGCCCAAGUGCCUGGCAACCAGCUUGGCUCCCAAAUCAAGAACAGCAUGGAGAACAGCGGCUCUAAUCUAGAAUGUGUGUGGCAGAAUCAUCAUGGAACCCAAGAGUAAGUCAGCUCAGUGGCCUGGGUAACCAGCAGAGUAGAACUGAAUACAAAUUGAAACUCACAUGGCAUAUACAUGGUGUAUUAUGAGUCUCAGAGCUUUGACAGUGACUUUGGUCUAGCAAAUGCCCACUGGAAACUUGGACAAGGGUAGGGACUCCUUUUGUCCCUGUGAAAUCUCUAUGGGAAUUGUGAGGACAAAUCCAAGUAGGGCGUGGUGAUGCUUAUCAAAUAAACCCUCUGGCAGGGUCUGAGGUGGUCGGGGUCAACAAGUUGGUGCCCUAGUUUAACCUUAAUACUUCAAGUGAGCAGAUACAGGAAAUUCCAGCCGUGUAGUGGCGGGCCAAAUGAUGACAUGUCGUUGGUCCCUUGUAAUGCUCCAACUCAAUAAAAAUUGCCUAUCUUCCAGGAGAAGCCCAGCAUCCGUAGUUCUCUGUAAGAGGUAUCCCCAGGGGAAAACAUUCAUUGUACAGCUAGCUAAGGAGCUACGGUGUCUCUUCACUUACUGCUUGGGGAAACUUGAAUACUCGCAAGCCACAUCCUAGGUUCAGUCCCAAUGCUCAAUGGCUAAAGCCAAUGCUGCCAACCCUAUCCCGGGACUGCAGCAGCAAUCGCAUACGUGAUAUAUGGCAAUAUACAGUGUUAGUUCAGCUCUCCUGGCUGCAUUUCAUCAGAUGAAGAUAUUUACCAUGCUGCCUUCAGUAAUGAGCAAAGAAAUCUCGGCUUCAGUGGACUUACCAUAUUUCUCUUCACCUUCAAAAUAAUGGCUUAAUGGAAAAUGAGAAGACACAAUUAAAUCUCCUGCUUUUAAAAUGGGGAUUAACA